rnacentral:rRNA from 1 species
UACGGGGGGGGGCAAGCGUUGUUCGGAAUUACUGGGCGUAAAGGGCUCGUAGGCGGCCAACUAAGUCGGACGUGAAAUCCCCAGGCUCAACCUGGGAACUGCGUCCGAUACUGGAUGGCUUGAAUCCGGGAGAGGGAUGCAGAAUUCCAGGUGUAGCGGUGAAAUGCGUAGAUAUCGAGAGGAACACCUGCGGCGAAGGCGGGUUGCUGGGCUGAUACUGACGCUGAGGCGCGAAAGCUAGGGGAGCAAACGGG